UAAAUUUGAAUGCUAAUUCUUGGGGUCUGAGAUCCCGACAGCCUUACAGCUCGUGUUUAGGAGGCAUGAAAACACGCUACUUUGAACUCUCAUGAAAGUGCCUCCUCCUCUACUCCAGACAUUUCUUUGCGGGAGGCUAGAGGACUAGCCUCUGUGCUGCUGCUUUGCCGUGAGUGACACUGGCUUUCUAUGCUGUAGCUGGAAAUGCAGAAAUCACAAAAUGAAGCAGUGUGUGAGGGGCUGCGUACUCAAAUCCGAGAGCUCUGGGACAGGUUGCAAAUACCUGAAGAAGAAAGAGAAGCUGUGGCCACCAUUAUGUCUGGGUCAAAGGCCAAGGUCCGGAAAGCGCUGCAAUUAGAAGUGGAUCGGUUGGAAGAACUGAAAAUGCAAAACAUGAAGAAAGUGAUUGAGGCAAUUCGAGUGGAGCUGGUUCAGUACUGGGACCAGUGCUUUUAUAGCCAGGAGCAGAGACAAGCUUUUGCCCCUUUCUGUGCUGAGGACUACACAGAAAGUCUGCUCCAGCUCCACGAUGCUGAGAUUGUGCGGUUAAAAAACUACUAUGAAGUUCACAAGGAACUCUUUG
rnacentral:sRNA from 1 species